ACCUCCUUCGGGAGGGGAUUAGUGGCGAACGGGUGAGUAACACGUGGGCAAUCUGCCCUUCACUCUGGGACAAGCCCUGGAAACGGGGUCUAAUACCGGAUAACACUGCGGAUCGCAUGGUCUGCGGUUGAAAGCUCCGGCGGUGAAGGAUGAGCCCGCGGCCUAUCAGCUUGUUGGUGGGGUGAUGGCCUACCAAGGCGACGACGGGUAGCCGGCCUGAGAGGGCGACCGGCCACACUGGGACUGAGACACGGCCCAGACUCCUACGGGAGGCAGCAGUGGGGAAUAUUGCACAAUGGGCGAAAGCCUGAUGCAGCGACGCCGCGUGAGGGAUGACGGCCUUCGGGUUGUAAACCUCUUUCAGCAGGGAAGAAGCGAAAGUGACGGUACCUGCAGAAGAAGCGCCGGCUAACUACGUGCCAGCAGCCGCGGUAAUACGUAGGGCGCAAGCGUUGUCCGGAAUUAUUGGGCGUAAAGAGCUCGUAGGCGGCUUGUCACGUCGGAUGUGAAAGCCCGGGGCUUAACCCCGGGUCUGCAUUCGAUACGGGCAGGCUAGAGUGUGGUAGGGGAGAUCGGAAUUCCUGGUGUAGCGGUGAAAUGCGCAGAUAUCAGGAGGAACACCGGUGGCGAAGGCGGAUCUCUGGGCCAUUACUGACGCUGAGGAGCGAAAGCGUGGGGAGCGAACAGGAUUAGAUACCCUGGUAGUCCACGCCGUAAACGUUGGGAACUAGGUGUUGGCG
rnacentral:rRNA from 1 species